CGAAGUUAGUGGUGUGUUUGUUUGUGUGGCAGCGCUUUGAGUGCUGUGACCGUUGCUGAGUGUCGUAGUAGGAGAGGCGCAUGGGGUAAGAAUUGGGCAGACGCACUCCAAGCUGCACGACCUUGAGGGUAAACUGCUCCCAUGUGCGGAAGACACAGCAAUGCUUUGAGCUACGUGCUCACAAUGACAGCAGGAAGAUGUCCGAGGUCAGAACCGAACGCUGCAGGAGGACUCGAGUCUCAAGUACUGCUAAGUGAGCUAACCAACGCACACUUUUGUAUUCCUAUUGACCACUGAAAGCUUUACAGGACAAGUCAAAUUCACCCAUUUACACACAUUCAUACAUGCCAUGCUUUUUCUGUCACAUUCAUAUACAUUCAUACACUACCGAGAGGCCCAAGGACACAACGGCAUGCGAAAGGAAGCGAGGAUCGAAUCGCCGAUCUUCGGGUUAGUUGACGACCUGAGCCACAGCCACCUAAUGACUCACACCUCGCUUCUCUUUCAUGACUGUACAUUGAAUCCUGCAAAACCUGAUGACCCUUAAGGCAACAGUUGUAUAAAAGCAAAAGGAAUCACAGUUCUACAAGUCAUAAGGAGCAAGUUGUCCUCCUAACUAUUGUUUUUCUUCAUAUAUAAAUGUCCAAGUGGGGAAAUUGGUAAUUACAAUCAUGUUAUGUUGUUUGUCAAAACUA